rnacentral:rRNA from 1 species
AGCUUGCUAGAGGAGCGGCGAACGGGUGAGUAACGCGUAGGAAUCUGCCUGAUAGUGGGGGACAACGUCUCGAAAGGGACGCUAAUACCGCAUACGCCCUACGGGGGAAAGGGGGGGAUCUUCGGACCUCUCGCUAUCAGAUGAGCCUGCGUCGGAUUAGCUAGUUGGUGAGGUAAAGGCUCACCAAGGCGACGAUCCGUAGCUGGUCUGAGAGGAUGAUCAGCCACACCGGAACUGAGACACGGUCCGGACUCCUACGGGAGGCAGCAGUGGGGAAUAUUGGACAAUGGGGGCAACCCUGAUCCAGCCAUGCCGCGUGUGUGAAGAAGGCCUUCGGGUUGUAAAGCACUUUAAGGGGGGAGGAAGGUUCGCUGGUGAAUAUCCAGCGGAAUUGACGUUACCCCCAGAAUAAGCACCGGCUAACUUCGUGCCAGCAGCCGCGGUAAUACGAGGGGUGCAAGCGUUAAUCGGAAUUACCGGGCGUAAAGCGCGCGUAGGCGGCUGAGUAAGUCGAUUGUGAAAGCCCCGGGCUCAACCUGGGAAUUGCAGUCGAGACUGUUCGGCUAGAGUGUGGGAGAGGGUGGUGGAAUUCCCGGUGUAGCGGUGAAAUGCGUAGAUAUCGGGAGGAACAUCAGUGGCGAAGGCGACCACCUGGCCCAACACUGAC